AUUGAACGCUGGCGGCAGGCCUAACACAUGCAAGUCGAACGGUAACAGGAAGAAGCUUGCUUCUUUGCUGACGAGUGGCGGACGGGUGAGUAAUGUCUGGGAAACUGCCUGAUGGAGGGGGAUAACUACUGGAAACGGUAGCUAAUACCGCGUAACGUCGCAAGACCAAAGAGGGGGACCUUCGGGCCUCUUGCCAUCGGAUGUGCCCAGAUGGGAUUAGCUAGUAGGUGGGGUAACGGCUCACCUAGGCGACGAUCCCUAGCUGGUCUGAGAGGAUGACCAGCCACACUGGAACUGAGACACGGUCCAGACUCCUACGGGAGGCAGCAGUGGGGAAUAUUGCACAAUGGGCGCAAGCCUGAUGCAGCCAUGCCGCGUGUAUGAAGAAGGCCUUCGGGUUGUAAAGUACUUUCAGCGGGGAGGAAGGGAGUAAAGUUAAUACCUUUGCUCAUUGACGUUACCCGCAGAAGAAGCACCGGCUAACUCCGUG
rnacentral:rRNA from 1 species